rnacentral:rRNA from 1 species
GACGAACGCUGGCGGCGUGGAUUAGGCAUGCAAGUCGAACGGUAGGAUACCUUCGGGUAUCUGAGAGUGGCGAACGGGUGAGUAACACGUAGGUGAUCUACCCUCAAGAUUGGGACAACCCAGGGAAACUUGGGCUAAUACCGGAUGAAAGCAGCAGUGAUGUUGUUUGAAAGGUGGCGUAAGCUGCCGUUUGGGGAUGAGCCUGCGCUCUAUUAGUUAGUUGGCGGGGUAAAGGCCCACCAAGGCGACGAUCUGUAGCGGGUCUGAGAGGAUGAUCCGCCACACUGGAACUGAGACACGGUCCAGACUCCUACGGGAGGCAGCAGUGGGGAAUUUUGGACAAUGGGGGCAACCCUGAUCCAGCCAUGCCGCGUGAGUGAAGAAGGCCUUCGGGUUGUAAACGUACUGUCCUAUGGGAAGAAACGAAAUAGACGGUACCAUGGAGGAAGCCCGGCUAACUACGUAGCCAGCAGCCGCGGUAAGCUGUAGUCGU